GCCUGGGGAGUACGGUCGCAAGAUUAAAACUCAAAGGAAUAGACGGGGACCCACACAAGCGGUGGAGCAUGUGGUUUAAUUCGACAAUAAACGGGGAACCUUACCAGGGCUUGACAUCUCCGGAACUCUACAGAAAUGUGGAGGUGCCGCAAGGAACCGGAUGACAGGUGCUGCAUGGUCGUCGUCAGCUCGUGCCUUGAGGUGUUCGGUUAAGUCCGUAAACGAGCGCAACCCAUGUCCUGUGUUGCAUUUCUCACAGGAGACUGCCGGCUCCAAGUCGGAGGAAGGUAUGGAUGACGUCAGAUCAGCAUGGCCCUUAUGCCCUGGGCCACACACGUGCUACAAUGGCCGGUACAAUGAGCAGCGAACCCGUAAGGGGGAGCCAAUCUCAUCAAAGCCGGUCUCAGUUCGGAUUGAGGGCUGCAAUUCGCCCUCAUGAAGUUGGAAUCGCUAGUAAACGCGAAUCAGACAUGUCGCGUUGAAUAUGUUCCUGGGUCUUGUACUCACCGCCCGUCAUAUCAUGAAAGGUGGGGGUACCCGAAGUCGCC
rnacentral:rRNA from 1 species